AUCUUCUUAUUGUAUAAACAGUCAAUUUAUGUUCGGCUCAUCGAAAGUUUUGACACAACGACAGAAAUUCAAUUUGGUGGAAUAGCCGUUUGCCAUGGAUGGUGGUUAACGAAUGACAAGUUGAAUUUUUCAUAAAGCAAUUUUUCUAGCAUCCCGCAUAGGAAAUACUGUUUGAAAAUCAUUUGUUAAAUAUUCAAUCAACAUUUUACGAAAUUGUAUAGCCACUCUUUGGUAAAUCAUUUUUUUAAUUCCUCACCGUCUCCCAAAUACCCAAGUAACCAAACAGCACUAAAACAGGAAAUUAUUCAGCACUAUAAGCGCAUUUAGUGCAACGCAUAACAGUUUUCAAAAUUGCACCAAAAGCGCUUUUACAACCGAUUUGCAGCUGUUUUUGGACUUUAUAUUUCUGUUUUACAGCUGGGCCCCUACUGUUGGCGAUCCAACCCUGCACAAUUGUCAUUAAUGUCAAAAAAAUGAGAGGAGCAAAAAUAUUUUCUCUCUCUUCCUUUCUCCUCCACCUGUCUGUUCUAUUUUGGUUUGUUUGUUACAACUUUAACGACGCUCAGCUGACCGUAGGGGAAUCAUUUUAUUUGAUUGAUUUUGCUUUGUUGGGGAUUUGAUGCCAGAUGAUGGAAGUGUUCGUCGAUGUUUACUGGUGGUUCCUGUGCCCGUAUCGUCACGCCUGUUUGGAAAAUGUUUUGUUGACGAGAUUGAACAGCUUCAGAUACUGUUCCAUUUUCUGAAAACCUCUUUCAAAUUGUCUCCUUAGAAAGCCUGGAGUCAUUUAAUCUUUUAAUUUCGGAGAAAAACCCGGAGCACCAUCAAGUCUGCAUUCCAACGUUCAAUUCCGGUCAAGUCUGCAGCAGCUGCAGCCUUGAAAUUGAAAAUUCACCUGCCAAUUGCUGAUGGUCCGGAACGGCCGCUUUUUUCCACGUUGGAGGGCAAAUACAUUGUUUGAUGCAUCCUGAAAUAUAUUUGUUUAUUAAUAGAUGAUUCUUAAGUAAUAAUCUUGUGCUAUACUCACGAAAGUUAGAAGAAAUACAGGCUCCAGCAGUAAUUUACCCGAAUCCAAAUUUUCAUCACCAUGAUUAUUUGUUUUUCUUUCUCAGUCGCACUCUUUCACUCUCGGUCAACACGACAGACGUGUUGCCAGUUUUUUGACAAUUUACAACAGUGUUGCUAGUGGCAGCUGGUAAUCAGCUCUAAAACGGCUGUUAUCGAUGCAGUUAUUUUAGAGCUGAUUUGCUUUAAUCUUUGCCGUUUUACAGCUGAUUAGCUGGUGAAUGCUAUUUUGCAUCUGAUUUAUGAUUUCUAGUAAUGCUGGAUGGUUACUUGGGUAGUGAACCCAUUUAUAUCUUGUUAGCAAUAUUCACUAUUUGAUUUUUUUUCUUUCAGCGACACUUUGUCAAAUGCUUUUUAAAGUUCAUUUUUGCGUAUAUAUUUUAGGGAUUUCCCCAUUUCUGAAAUGGUAUUUUAAUGGUUUUAAAUAGUUAUUUGAGUAAUUUUUCAUGGCACAUUACAUUUUGUGAAAUCCCGAGCAGGGGUAAAUAACACGGGAAUACCAAAUUUUGGUACUACUUGGACAAAUAACAGGGACCAAAAUGUGCCCUUGGUUGCCCAGUAAUAGAUGGUAAAAUACCAUGAAAUCAUACCAAAAUCUUGUAUGUGGAAGGGCACAACAAUACCAAACCAUGUUAUUCCAAGGGUAAAAUAAUACCACAAAAUAAAACCAUUUCAAUACCAAGUUGAGGUCUUCUGGAUUUUUGAACAUUGCUUGAAUACCAAAACUUGGUAUUGCCAUGGUUUAUUUUUAGGUAUUUCUGCGCCCUUGGAAAAUCAGAUUUUGGGUUUCCUGUGGUCUUCCACAUACACACGCAGAAAAAUAAGGCAUAUUUGAAUUAGGAAAACGUUUUGUUGAUUUGAAAAUCAAGAUUUUUGUUGAAUCAACGCUAAACGUCAAAGCAACUUUUUCAAAACAACAUAAGAUUUUUGUGGAAUUGAGAAAAUCAAGGUUUGUUUCCACGCAAAAUCGUUGUUGGU